rnacentral:rRNA from 1 species
ACUCCUACGGGAGGCAGCAGUGGGGAAUUUUGGACAAUGGGGGAAACCCUGAUCCAGCAAUGCCGCGUGAGUGAAGAAGGCCUUCGGGUUGUAAAGUUCUUUUGUCAGGAAAGAAACACCGGUUCUAACACAGUCCGGGAAUGACGGUACCUGAAGAAUAAGCACCGGCUAACUACCUGCCAGCAGCCGCGGUAAUACGGAGGGUGCAAGCGU